rnacentral:rRNA from 1 species
GUGUGAAAUCUCCCGGCUCAACCGGGAGGGUGCGCCGAAUACUGAGGAGCUAGAGUGCGGGAGAGGAGAGUGGAAUUCCUGGUGUAGCGGUGAAAUGCGUAGAUAUCAGGAGGAACACCGGUGGUGUAAACGGCUCUCUGGACCGUAACUGACGCUGAGACACGAAAGCGUGGGUAGCAAACAGGAUUAGAUACCCUGGUAGUCCACGCCCUAAACGAUGCAUAUUUGGUGUGGGUCAUUCAGUUGAUCCGUGCCGGAGCUAACGCGUUAAAUAUGCCGCCUGGGGAGUACAGUCGCAAGGCUGAAACUCAAAGGAAUUGACGGGGGCCCGCACAAGCGGUGGAGCAUGUGGUUCAAUUCGACGCAACGCGAAGAACCUUACCUGGGCUCGAACGGCCGGCUAACGGCGGUGGAAACACCGCUAUCCCGCAAGGGAGUCCGGUCGAGGUGCUGCAUGGCUGUCGUCAGCUCGUGUCGUGAGAUGUUGGGUUAAGUCCCGCAACGAGCGCAACCCUCGUCCUGUGUUGCCAGGGGAGCAAUCCCGGAACUCGCAGGAGACCGCCAGCGAUAAGUUGGAGGAAGGUGGGGAUGACGUCAAGUCCUCAUGGCCUUUAUGUCCAGGGCUACACACGUGCUACAAUGGCCGGUACAAAGCGCUGCAAACCCGCGAGGGGGAGCCAAUCGCAGAAAACCGGUCUCAGUUCGGAUUGCAGGCUGCAACUCGCCUGCAUGAAGCUGGAAUCGCUAGUAAUGGCAGAUCAGCACGCUGCCGUGAAUACGUUCCCGGGCCUUGUACACACCGCCCGUCACAUCACGAAAGUGGAUUGUACUAGAAGCCUGCAGGCCGACCCGCAAGGGGGGCAGCGGUCCAAGGUAUGAUCCAUGAUUGGGGUGAAGUCGUAACAAGGUAACC